rnacentral:lncRNA from 1 species
AAAAUUGCGCAGGAUUUUUAAUCAUGGUAAUGAAAAAUGUAAACUCAAAUCGAAUUUACACGAUCGAUUGCGUGGUUUUCAAGGCAUAAUUACGAAACACAAUGAAUAUGUCACUAUUCAUUUUAUACACCAAAUGGGCGGCAAACUGGUUUUAAAUGCAAAUGUUUUUGGCACUCUGGUAUUGAUUUAUGCCGUCCAAUAGCACAGAGCUUGAGUGUUUUCAUCGGUCAACAUACCAACAUGCGUUCGAGACCACUGAGACUAAACGUCUGCGAAGCCCAAUGAUUAAUAUUUGAAAUCGAGUCAAAGAAGUUUUGAUCACUCGGAGGAAUAUUGCGGGAUCUUUACACAGCUUUACAGAGUAAAGACCGCAAUUUAUGGGGAUUCCUUUGACCAAGUCUCUAAUAUUUCGCUUUAGUGGCUAAAAUCACAAAAACACAUCGUAUGACGAUCGUUUAGCAGUCGUUGCAUUAACUCAAUUUGCGAGAACUCGAGGUUGUCGAUUGUGUUUGGGUACUGCUUUAUACGGUGUGCUUGAACUUUUUAACAGUCGAAGUUCCACUGCGAUCUUGACAGGGCAAGCGCUUGUUUCAACAAGAAAGGUGAAGCUUUUGGCGCAAAACGUGAUAAUCCUACACGAAGAACCUGUUGUUAUUGUUGGGGCAAGUUGUCGACGCAUAUCGGGUUUCCAUGAAGUUGAUUUUCGUCUAAAGUUUCGUACGAGUUUUGCGAUAUAAAAGGACUGCGAGAAGAUGACUCCAUUAAACGGGCGAUGUUUGCUCUUUCUCGUAUAUUUUUCCACCUUCCUUGCUUGGAGCGACGAAUCAUCGAAUGCAGAUUAUUCGCGUGCGAGGGCAUCAUUUGAAGGUAUGUCUUAAAUCAUGCAUGCGUAUAGAGAGAGUACUUAUAUCCGUACUCGCUAUUCUUCUGUCCCAACUGAAAGAAUGUAAGCCUCACGUGAAGAUUACCUCGUUGAAAGGUUCUGCGUUCUUGCAAGAAUUCUUUCUGUGGGUUCCCCGAUGUUUUGGCGAAACUUUGUUUUAAUAUCAAGUUGUUUUCCGAGAGGCCCAAAUAAAGGCAGAUAGUUGAAGAGCUUUGUUUUGGAAACGUAGUGCCUCUUAAACUUUGUAUUCCAUCAAUAAACCCUCGCAGCUGGAGGGAAUCGCAAAAAUUACUCAACAAUAGUGAAACGGUUUGUAUAUUUCCCACGAAGGGACAGAAAUCCCUUUGUGUUGAAAUGGCCUUAACGCGAAGAACCUAUACUACCGGAAAAUUAACUCACACCAAAAAAUCAAUAUGGCGUUGUCUGGCGACGUUAAGUGUGUUUUUAGUUGAUAAAUUUUCAUCGCGAUGUAACUGAAUUAUUUGAUAUUGAUCAAUGUAUUUUGGACCGCUAAACGAUAAGGUAUUAGUUACGAUUUUUAAUCCAGCGCGCAUUCGAUCGCUUACUACAGUGUGCUGGCCUUCAUCAUGAGUUAAUUUUUAUUUGUAAUAAAAAUCUUGCGAAGUAAUUUAAAACACCAGCAUGCAAAUAUCGUCAUUGAUCCACCAUAAAAGAAUGAAAUGCAAAUUUACUGUAUUUUUGUGAUUUAGGAUGCUUUGUUUAGAAUUGAAUGGAAAGUUCACGACUUGUGCACUCUGCAAAUGCCCUGUGUUAAAUUGACUGCCAGUUAGAUUUAUGAAUCGUGAUUAUGUCCGUGAAACCUUCUCUGCAGCGUGAAAUAUAAGACGAGAUACCUCGGAAAAGCAAUCUGGUGUCAAUUAGCUUUUCAUCAACAUUUCAUUUACGAGAUUGUUAAGUAAACAGAAAAGGCUUAACGAAAAUUACCUUGAAACUAAGAACGCGCUUUUCAUUCAAAAGGGGUUCAUUUUAUAGUGUCGAUUUCUUCCUACCUCUGACAAAACUAAUAACUGAUUCAUUCAGAUGUAUAGUCGAGGCUUAGUACACAGAGUGCAGAGCUUAAGAAUCAACAACGAAGCUUCUGUUGUCUCUUUGAAGUGAUAGAAAACAAACCCCUUUCUUAGAUGGUUUAGAGUCAGGACUGUUAAAGUGGGGAUGGGUGGCACAACUCCCAUAGAAUUUCCCUGGUAGCCUUGGACACUCUGAUCUUCCAAUGUGAUUAACAUAGAAGUUCUCCUUAAAAUGUCAAGACAAUAUAGUGAAUCUGUUUAUAAGAACUUAUAAAUACAUCAACUAGGAAUUAUAAAUGUAUGAAGUCAAGUUGUGUUGAUGUACCCACAAUUUUUGUUAAGGCUUAGUAUAUUAAAGAAGUAUGAUAUUAUACCGAUGUACGAUUGGAAGGUUGGGAUGGCUGU